rnacentral:lncRNA from 1 species
UUGCUAAGUGUCUCUAAAGUGUGUUUAAAUCAGUUUGAAGUUUUUUAAUUGCUAGGCCAUGUAAUUAAGAUUGGUGAAUUUGGAGAUACGUAUUUGUAAUCUUAAUUAUUUGUAAUAAGCACGAGAUCUUUCAUAGUCUGUGAAAAUACUGAGGCCAAAUGAAAUACCAUUUCAGUUGGUUGAGUUUUUUGCUCAUCAAGAUGGGAAAGAUGCUUACAUUUGAGAAACUAGAUUGUUUUUUCAGCACUUCAGGGCAUUCUUUUCAAACUCAUGGACUUUCUUUGAAAUAAUAUCUGCUACCUCCAAGGAAUAGUAGGUGCUUCAAGGCUCUGAAGAGAGUAAAUUUGUUAAAAACCUGUCUAGAAAUGUGAAGUUUGCUCUGUUCCUUAUUUUAGUCAUAAUUUCAUCUAACAUUUUUAUUUCCCAGACUGACUAAGAUGCUUGUAUGUGAUUAGUUGCAUCUUUUCUUGAAUGCAAGUGCUUUUUUUGUUUUGUUUUAUUUUCAUUUUGGUUUAUAUGUUGAGUACUUGUGGCUGUUUGGGUAACUAAACCCUCUGCAGCUCUGUUAAGUCUUAGCCAUGGAUGUUUGUCUUACAAAGGCAUUCCUGCUACUUUCAUAACUUAUUUUUCUUUUCUUUUCUUUUUUUUUUUUUUUUUUUGUCCACCCCAAGGCAUAUGGAGUUCCCAGGCCAAGGAUCAGAUCUGAGCUGUACUGGUGACCUAAGUCAUAGCUGCGACAACGCCAGAUCCUUUAACCCACUGUGCCAGGCCAGGGCUCGAACCCCUACCCUGGCGCUACAGAGACACCACCAGUCUCAUUGAGCCACAGCAGAAACUCCUCAUAGCUUCUUCUUAAAUAGUUCCUCACAGGUUCCUGCUCCUGUAAGGCUCCUCUUUCUUUUUUUCCUGUUGUCUCAGAAUGAGUAGAUCCACGCUAGAUGCUGCUAUGUUGUAAAUGACAUUUUACUAGAAAGAGAGUAAUAAUUUUCAACUCUACUUUCAUAAAAAUGGAUGGCUCUUUACUGAGCAUUACUUGAAAUUUGUGCACAGUUAAUGCCAUGCACAGCUCCCUAGCCACAGCUUUAGUUUUAGCAUGCUACUUUGGUUGCAUAUUUUUCAGAACUUUUUUUUUUUUUUUUUUUUUGCUUUUUAGGGCUACAUUCACAGCAUAUGACGUUUCCCAGUCUAGGGGUUGAAUUGUAGCUGCAGCUGCUGGCCUACGCCACAGCCACAGCAGUGUGGGAUCUGAGCCGUGUCUGUGACCAGCACCACAGCUCAUGGCAACACUGGAUUCUUAACCCACUGAAUGAGGUCAGGGAUCGAGCCCGCAACCUCAUGGUUUCUAUUUGGAUUCGUUUCUGCAGCACCACGACGGGAACACAUCACACCUUUUUUUUUUUAAAUCAUGUAUUGCUUCCAUGGAACUUAACAUUUUUAAAUAGUUAAAGGAAUUCCCAUUGUGGUGCAGGGUUCAAAAUGUGACAUUUUUUAUUAAUUCAUCUUUGUCUGAAAAAGACUUUCAAAGUGAAAUUUCCAGUAAGAGCUGAGGCAUGUGGUUAAUUUCAUGGGUCAUCUGUCACCUGUACCUUAUGUCGAAUUGUUGUAGAGUUCUUGUCAAGGUUUAUAUGUUUGAAGUCAUCUCAUUUUGAGAACAAGAAUGAGCCAAAGAACACUAGUUCACUAAGCACACCCUUAGGUCAGGUACUCCUCUUACUCAGCCUGCAGGUGCCUGUUGAGCAUCUAUAAUACAAUCAGUGAAGGGGUGUUUGCAAAAUCAGUGCUAGCCCUGCCUGUAUCACCACAGUGUCGGACCACCGUUCUGUUCCCCAGUCCUGUGCUGUCACACACAGGCCCCUGUUUGUAGCUCUUGGUGUCCGUGACUAUCUCGGCAUUUUUAUGUAGUUUGCUCCUGAGGCCGAGGACCAUAGCAGGUAUAUUCAGAUAACGGAUAACAAAGGGCUUCAAAAGUUAUAAAAUCUGUGAACAUUCUGGAUAUUAUAACACUGUGGAUCUUACAUGAUCUUUUUUAGCAGGCGGCGCCCUGUUGAGAUGCGAGGCAGGGGCUGGGAGGUGUGAGUGCUCAGCUUCCUGCAGGGCUGCUCUAACGCUGCUCUGGCAAAAAUGGAGCACUGGCUCACACUACUUCUCUGCAGACAGGCGAGGUAGAAGCCCAGCUUCCCCUCUACCCUGCUGACCCCUUCCUGGUGAAAGUGGGCACCAACUUGGCUCACCUCAGCUUGUACCACUUCCUUGCCUCCCCAUGUGCUUUUCAGCUCAUGCCCUGCUGGCUGCCACCAGAGGAGGACUUGGGGGAGGUAGAGUGCUACUUCCUGCUCCCUCCUGUCUUGCCCCUCUCCCUGGUGCUUCUGGGUAAGGGUAGAGGCUCAGCUCCCCACUGGACCCAGUGACAGUAACCUCUGGGCUUGGGCAGCAUCAUUGUCGCCGGGGCAGGGGGACCUGGAGCGCUGCUUCCUGCUUCUGUGGGAGGUAGGGUAGACCACUCCCUGUUCAGCCCACUGAAACUUUGAAGAAGGGGAGGUGGCAGUUUUUCUGUUACUGUUUGAGUAAGAUGAAUGUUGCCAAAAAGGCUUUCUGUUCUGUUAGGCCACCUUUUUUUUUUUUUUUUUUUUAAGAUAUUAUGAUUUUUAUUUUUUUUUCCAUUAUAGCUGGUUUACAGUGUUCUAUCAAUUUUCUACUGUACAGCAUGGUGACCCAGUUACACAUACAUGUAUACACUCUUUUUUCUCACAUUAUCAUGCUCCAUCAUAAGUGACUAGAUGUAGUUCCCAGUGUGACACAGCAGGAUCUCAUUGCUAAUCCAUUCCAAAGGCAUAGUCUGCAUCUAUUAACCCCAAGCUCCCAGGCUACAAUUUUACAGUCUUAUGCCUGAGGCAUCACACUUUUCUUGGAAUUGUUUGGUUGUUGUUUGUUUGUUUUUAAUUUGUGCCUCUUGGAGUUCUACUCAUGGCACAGCGGCAACGAGUCUGACUAGGAACCAUGAGGUUGCGGGUUCGAUCCCUGGCCUCAAUCAGAUGGGUUAAGGAUGUGGUAUUGCCAUGAGCUGUGGUGUAGAUUGCAGAUGAGGCUUGAAUCCUGCGUUGCUGUGGCUGUGGUGUAGGCUGGCAGCUGGAGCUCAGAUUGGACCCCUAGCCUGGGAAUCUCCAUUUGCCUCGGGUGCAACCCUAAAAAGCAAAAAAAUAAAAAAA